rnacentral:snRNA from 1 species
NAGAUAAAGAAGAAACAAAGAUUUAUAUGUCGCACAAAGUUUAGUCGAUGUCCUACGGGGUAAGUUGACAAUGAAAACUUUUGUUGAAAAUAUUUGGAGACUUUUGAGUAUUUAAAGGGUGAGUGGCUAUAGAUCCUCUGUUCUCAUGAUCGAUUAAUAUGAUCCACCCAAUCAAUACUCGAACACCC